GGGGUCGUCUAGUUUCGACGGGUAUGUUUAUGCUUAGAUGGCAAGUCGGAGGAACACGUUACGAACAAACAAAAAAUAACUGGAAACAGAAUUAAAAACGCAGUUGCUACACUUUUCGGAAGAAAUGCUGUAGCAUUCGCCUAAUCGAUUUUAAAAGGCCUGCACUUCUAUAAUAAUUUUUUCUACGAAUAUUAUAGGGGUUCAUUUUAGUAGAAUAUAUAACUAUGAUGAUUAUAAAUAGUUAUGAAUAAUUAUAAUCUUACUUAAAAAGGGUUGUUAGGUACCAACUUUUUAAGGACAUUUAACUAUCUAACUAAACUUGUAGAGGUUUAAGAGUUAGCAUAUUCGGACACGAGUGCAAUUCUCGUCGACUCCACCA
rnacentral:tmRNA from 1 species